AGAGUUUGAUCAUGGCUCAGAUUGAACGCUGGCGGCAGGCUUAACACAUGCAAGUCGAGCGGAGAUGAGGUGCUUGCACCUUAUCUUAGCGGCGGACGGGUGAGUAAUGCUUAGGAAUCUGCCUAUUAGUGGGGGACAACAUUCCGAAAGGAAUGCUAAUACCGCAUACGUCCUACGGGAGAAAGCAGGGGAUCUUCGGACCUUGCGCUAGUAGAUGAGCCUAAGUCGGAUUAGCUAGUUGGUGGGGUAAAGGCCUACCAAGGCGACGAUCUGUAGCGGGUCUGAGAGGAUGAUCCGCCACACUGGGACUGAGACACGGCCCAGACUCCUACGGGAGGCAGCAGUGGGGAAUAUUGGACAAUGGGCGGAAGCCUGAUCCAGCCAUGGCCGCGUGUGUGAAGAAGGCCUUUUGGUUGUAAAGCACUUUAAGCGAGGAGGAGGCUACCUAGAUUAAUACUCUGGGAUAGUGGACGUUACUCGCAGAAUAAGCACCGGCUAACUCUGUGCCAGCAGCCGCGGUAAUACAGAGGGUGCGAGCGUUAAUCGGAUUUACUGGGCGUAAAGCGUGCGUAGGCGGCUGAUUAAGUCGGAUGUGAAAUCCCUGAGCUUAACUUAGGAAUUGCAUUCGAUACUGGUCAGCUAGAGUAUGGGAGAGGAUGGUAGAAUUCCAGGUGUAGCGGUGAAAUGCGUAGAGAUCUGGAGGAAUACCGAUGGCGAAGGCAGCCAUCUGGCCUAAUACUGACGCUGAGGUACGAAAGCAUGGGGAG
rnacentral:rRNA from 1 species